GGGCUGGAGCUCAGUGACAGAGCAUCUGCUUUGCAUGCAGAAGGUCUCAGGUUCUACCCCUGGAGAACCCUGUCUG